CUGGAAGACUGUAGGAAGAGCUAAUGGGACUGGGGCAAAGUCAUUGCAAAUGAAGGACCCCGAGGCUGAAGUCAUGGAAAAAUUAUAGGCAUAUUUAUGCCAUUAAAUUUAUCUAAAAGGGAGAAGCUAUACAUCCUCUCUACUGAAGAAGAAUGGAGUUGGGGAUGAAGAACAAGUACUGUGUCUUCACAGUCUACUACAAUGAGAAAAAGGAGGACCAAAGAGAUGAUGCCGAGAGCAUGCAGGAUGCAUUUGAGAGGUUCAGAAGACGUCGGCAGGGGUAAGAAGAGGGAGCUGGAGAUGGAAAAGGAGAAGAGGAGGAGGGCCAGGAGAAAGUUCUUCUCUUUCUCCUAGGUUGUUGUUAGUUGACAUGAAGACAACUUCAGCUUAUGGCAACCCUUAUGAACGAGACACUAUGCCAGUGGUUCUCAGUGGCCUACAACUCCCAGAAAUCCCAGUUUACCAGCUGUUAGGAUUUCUGGGACUUGAAGGCCAAAACAUCUGGAGACCCACAGGUUGAGGGCCACUGCACUAUGCCAUCAAUUGUCUCUCUCAGGUAAACCCAGGGCAUAUCAAGUUGGGUGCCUCCCAACGACAUCCGAUGUGGAUCAGUGGGUCUUGAUGAUCAUAUUUAUAUUAAUAUUAAGAACAGCAGUUAUUCUGGCAUUCUAAGAUGAGUCUGGGUCCGGGAGAGCAGUGCCUCCCAGUUACGUCCAGUGUGGAUCAAUGGGUCUUGAUGGUCAUAUUUAUAUA
rnacentral:lncRNA from 11 species